UGGCACUGGCUGCAGCUAGGGGGAGCUCCAGAGCACAGCUCCUCUUCUAGCCAGCCGAGGGAAGCUCUCUGCUCCGUCAGCCUGAUGAUGAAAGCCAAAGACAGAUGAAUCCCACCCUGCCCGUUUUUGUGCGCCCUACCAACCCGCCGUUUUCUGCCUGCCGUACCCCGCCACGCCGCCAGACCCAGCCGUGCGCCGCCGGACCCGGUUUUCUUAGAUCUGACUCCACCAGUCGUUGGAACGUUUCUAUAGGUGCUCCCUUAAUGUAUGAGUGGAAGAACUUUGAAGAUGGUUUAAAGUUGGAAUGGACAAAGUUGUCUUCUACAUCUUGAUCCAAAUUUUGAUUUUCCUUUUUUGAGAAGAAUUUCUUUAUGCAGAGUUUUCGAACGAAUCUGUGUAUCUAUGUACAGUACAUAUCAAAUUGGUUAGCAUUAGAAUGUGCUGAAAACUUUAAGCCUUUGUUGAGCAAUGUUAUUUCUUGUUCUGUAAGGAUUCUUGUGCUUAGAUUGAAGCUACCUUUGUUGUGUUGUUGUGAGAUUUUAGUGCUUAAUUUCUUCUUUUUUUGCCUUUCCUCAGCCUUAAUGACUCAUCCACAGGUUGCUUGGAACCCACAGCUUCACGGACUCCAUUUAACGCUUUUUUCCCUACAGGUACUAGAUUAUCUUAGUCAUCCAGCGACCUCGGUGCAACCUUUUGGCCUAAAAGCAAUAUUGUGAGGUGUUCAGAAUAGACUGGAAAUGAAUGUUAUUGAGGUUAAUAAUACUGUAGGAUUAAAAAAAAAAAUAUGUGAU